GAUGAACGCUGGCGGCGUGCCUAAUACAUGCAAGUCGAGCGAACAGACGAGGAGCUUGCUCCUCUGACGUUAGCGGCGGACGGGUGAGUAACACGUGGAUAACCUACCUAUAAGACUGGGAUAACUUCGGGAAACCGGAGCUAAUACCGGAUAAUAUAUUGAACCGCAUGGUUCAAUAGUGAAAGACGGUUUUGCUGUCACUUAUAGAUGGAUCCGCGCCGCAUUAGCUAGUUGGUAAGGUAACGGCUUACCAAGGCAACGAUGCGUAGCCGACCUGAGAGGGUGAUCGGCCACCCUGGAACUGAGACACGGUCCCGACCCCUACGGGAGGCAGCCGUAGGGAAUCUUCCGCAAUGGGCGAAAGCCUGACGGAGCAACGCCGCGUGAGUUAUGAAGGUCUUCGGAUCGUAAAACUCUGUUAUUAGGGAAGAACAAAUGUGUAAGUAACUAUGCACGUCUUGACGGUACCUAAUCAGAAAGCCACGGCUAACUACGUG
rnacentral:rRNA from 1 species